UAUCGUGGCGGUGUGCGGUCAAACUGUCCUGUACGACACCACGUUGGUGUCGUACAGGGACAGAAUUAAAAAGGAGCAGGCGUGGGUCGUCGGGCCAGGAGACGGGGAUUCCUGAUCAGCUGUCGGGAAAUGAAUCGGAGCCUGUCUAUGUUCCUGCUGCUGCUGCUGCUCCUGCUACUCCUGCCCCUGCCCCUGUCCCUGCCGCUGGCCCUGCCCCUGCCCCAAGACCACCGAGCGGGAUGAGGAGGAAGAGAGCCAGCGGGGUACCAGAUGGGAACACCCAGAUACAAGAGGCCAUCCUCCAGGCCCUGCAGAGGGAUGGGGAGUUGUGUGCAGACGCACAGUUUUUAAACGGCUUCCUUCCCUGAAGAGAUUGCCACCAGACGCAAAGGAGUAUGUGAAAUUCCAAAUUCACGAGGUCAUAUUUGACGCCACCCAAUUCACCCUUAAUUUGGAACCCGUCUAAUCAUGCUCCUGCUUAUUAGCAAGAGUGGUGGUGACAAUCUCUCCAGGGAAAGAACUGGGCUGCUGUGACUAAUAAAGAAGCUGUUUGUGAGAAAGGUAGUUAGUUAGGUAAAUCCUUUCUCACAAACAGCUUAUUUUUUAGGAAGAUGUUAAUGUUCUU